rnacentral:sRNA from 1 species
GACGGGGGAGCUAGCUAGCUAGAACGUGGGCAGCUUGACCUUGUCGCGGCACUUGCCCUGCAUCGGGAGUUGGCAGUCGACGAGCUUCUUCCCGGAGCGGUCGACGCACUGGUACACCUGGAACAGCUGCGUCUCGCCGGCGGCGUCGCGGUUGCACUCGAGGUUGGGCACCGCGCCCGUGGCGGCGGCGAUGGCGUCGCGGAUGCUGCCGAGGGAGUAGCUCUCGUCGUCGGAGGGGACGAUGCCGGCGCCGGCGAGGACGGCGGCGAGGUCGUGCCGCUUCUUGAGCUCCAGCGCCGCCGCGAAGUAGCCGUGCUGGCCCAUGCCCGAGCAGGUGCCGUGCUUCUUCCACUCGUAGCUCCAGAACUCGAAGCUCUUGCCGCCCUUGCACGACAGCGUCGGCCAGUUCGCAUCGAGCUCCGCCACGAGGUCCUUGAUCUCCCACGGCCGCAGCUUGUUGCCGUCGUCGCAGUACUCCGGCCAGCACUUCUGCCGCCGCCGUUGGGCCACAGGCCGUGGAUGCCGAACUCCGCCGCCGGCUUGCCGGUGUCCGGGAAGCAGCACCCAGCCUGCGUGUCGCAGAACGAGCCAGGCCACUGCA